UGUGCAGGCGGGGGGUCAAGUGGUGUAUGAAAACGCCUGGCUUAACCGGGCGAAGCUAUGCCAGACUGGCCUUCUGGAGGGCGAGAGAGGGGCAUGGAAUUCCGGGUGUAGUGGUGAAAUGCGUAGAGAUCCGGAGGAACCCCAGAGGCGAAGGCGGUGCCCUGGCUCGUACCUGACGCUCAGACACGACAGCAUGGGGAGCGAACGGGAUUAGAAACCCCGGUAGUCCAUGCCGUAAACGAUGCCAACUAGGCGCUGGCGGUCUCAACCCCGCGGUGCCGCAGCUAACGCGUUAAGUUGGCCGCCUGGGGAGUACGGUCGCAAGGCUAAA
rnacentral:rRNA from 1 species